UACGGAGGAUCCAAGCGUUAUCCGGAUUUAUUGGGUUUAAAGGGUGCGCAGGCGGAUAUGUAAGUCAGUGGUGAAAUCUCCGGGCUUAACCCGGAAACUGCCGUUGAUACUAUAUAUCUUGAAUGCUGUGGAGGUAAGCAGAAUAUGUCAUGUAGCGGUGAAAUGCUUAGAGAUGACAUAGAAUACCUAUUGCGAAGGCAGCUUACUACGCAGAUAUUGACGCUCAUGCACGAAAGCGUGGGGAUCAAACAGG
rnacentral:rRNA from 1 species